rnacentral:rRNA from 1 species
GAUGAACGCUAGCUACAGGCUUAACACAUGCAAGUCGAGGGGAAACGCCAUCGAAAGCUUGCUUUUGAUGGGCGUCGACCGGCGCACGGGUGAGUAACGCGUAUCCAACCUGCCCAUCACUUGGGAAUAACCUUGCGAAAGUAAGACUAAUACCCAAUGACAUCCCACGAAGCCAUCUGAAUGGGAUUAAAGAUUUAUCGGUGAUGGAUGGGGAUGCGUCUGAUUAGCUUGUUGGCGGGGUAACGGCCCACCAAGGCAACGAUCAGUAGGGGUUCUGAGAGGAAGGUCCCCCACAUUGGAACUGAGACACGGUCCAAACUCCUACGGGAGGCAGCAGUGAGGAAUAUUGGUCAAUGGGCGAGAGCCUGAACCAGCCAAGUAGCGUGCAGGAUGACGGCCCUAUGGGUUGUAAACUGCUUUUAUAAGGGAAUAAAGUGGGUCUCGUGAGACUUUUUGCAUGUACCUUAUGAAUAAGGACCGGCUAAUUCCGUG